rnacentral:rRNA from 1 species
CUGGCUCAGGAUUAACGCUGGCGGCGUGCCUAAUACAUGCAAGUCGAAUGGUAGCAAUACCAUGGCGAACGGGUGAGUAACACGUAGGUAACCUGUCUUUAAGACGAGGAUAACCGAUGGAAACGUCGGAUAAUACUCGAUAGGUGAUUUGAGGGCAUCUUUGAAUCAUUAAAGAUUUAUCACUUAGAGAGGGGCCUGCGGCGCAUUAGCUAGAUGGCGGUGUAAUGGACCACCAUGGCGAUGAUGC